CACGUAGGGUGCGAGCGUUGUCCGGAAUUAUUGGGCGUAAAGAGCUCGUAGGUGGUUUGUCGCGUUGUCCGUGAAAACUCACAACUCAAUUGUGGGCGUGCGGGCGAUACGGGCAGACUGGAGUACUGCAGGGGAGACUGGAAUUCCUGGUGUAGCGGUGAAAUGCGCAGAUAUCAGGAGGAACACCGGCGGCGAAGGCGGCACUCUGGGCCGGUACUGACGCUGAGGAGCGAAAGCGUGGGUAGCAAACAGG
rnacentral:rRNA from 1 species